CCCACACUUGUGCAGCAGGUCCCUGUGGAGCUUCCUUCAUGCCCCUGAUGAUUUACAGGGGAAUUGGCAGCAGGAAAUGCAGCUGGGAAAAGUCUGCUAUGCUACAAAAUAAAAUUCAUGAAGACAAAACAGUCAAAAAAUGGUGACAUUGGGAGUGCCAACUGGUAGAAGAGCUCAUAGCAAAAUAAAAAUGAGAUUGAAGAAACACCUGUGGAGGGGGACACCAGGCCACGCAAGUGAUGGGAACAGAAAUGUCCUCAAGUUGUGCCAAGGGAUAUUAGGUGGAUAUUAGGGAAAAUUUCUUUACUGUCAAGUGGUCAAGCAUUGGAACAGUCUGCCCAAGGCAGUGGUG